UUUCCGGUUGAUCCUGCCGGAGGCCAUUGCUAUCGGAGUCCGAUUUAGCCAUGCUAGUCGUGCGAGUUCAGACUCGCGGCACCGAGCUCAGUAACACGUGGCCAAACUACCCUACAGAGACGGAUACCCUCGGGAAACUGAGGUUAACCCGUCAUACCGAUCUCAGGCUUGAAUCGCAGAGAUCACAAAAUGCCCCGGCGCUGUAGGAUGUGGCUGCGGUUGAUUAGGUAGACGGUGGGGUAACGGCCCACCGUGCCCAUAAUCAGUACAGGUUGUGAGAGCAAGAACCUGGAGACGGAAUCUGAGACAAGAUUCCGGGCCCUACGGGGCGCAGCAGGCGCGAAACCUUUACACUGCACGCACGUGCGAUAAGGGGACUCCGAGUGCGAGGGCAUAUCGUCCUCGCUUUCGUGUACCGUAGGGUGGUACACCAACAAGGGCUGGGCAAGACCGGUGCCAGCCGCCGCGGUAAUACCGGCAGCCCGAGUGAUGGCCGAUCUUAUUGGGCCUAAAGCGUCCGUAGCUGGCUGCGCAAGUCCGUCGGGAAAUCCACUCGCCCAACGAGUGGGCGUCCGACGGAAACUGCACAGCUUGGGACCGGAAGGCUCGAAGGGUACGUUCGGGGUAGGAGUGAAAUCCCAUAAUCCCGCACGGACCACCGAUGGCGAAAGCACUUCGAGAAAACGGAUCCGACAGUGAGGGACGAAAGCCAGGGUCUCCAACCGGAUUAGAUACCCGGGUAGUCCUGGCCGUAAACAAUGUUCGCUAGGUAUGACACAGACUACGCGUCUCUGUUGUGCCGUAGGGAAGCCGAGAAGCGAACCGCCUGGGAAGUACGUCUGCAAGGAUGAAACUUAAAGGAAUUGGCGGGGGAGCACUACAACCGGAGGAGCCUGCGGUUUAAUUGGAUUCAACGCCGGAA
rnacentral:rRNA from 1 species